UAAAGAGAGGUGUAGUGGAUGCACUAAGAGUUUUGAUCUCUUAAGGGCAGGUUCGAGUCCUGCCUUUUUAG
rnacentral:tRNA from 1 species